GAGUUUGAUCCUGGCUCAGGAUGAACGCUAGCGGCAGGCUUAACACAUGCAAGUCGAGGGGUAACGAUAGUGCUUGCACUAGGCGACGACCGGCGCACGGGUGAGUAACGCGUAUGCAACCUACCUUUAACUGGGGGAUAGCCCAGGGAAACUUGGAUUAAUACCCCAUAGUUUGCUUAGUUCUCAUGGACUGAGUAAUAAAGUUCCGGCGGUUAAAGAUGGGCAUGCGUGCCAUUAGAUAGUUGGUGAGGUAACGGCUCACCAAGUCAACGAUGGCUACGGGGUCUUAAAGGAUGGUCCCGCACACUGGUACUGAGACACGGACCAGACUCCUACGGGAGGCAGCAGUGAGGAAUAUUGGUCAAUGGAGGCAACUCUGAACCAGCCAUGCCGCGUGAAGGAAGACGGCCCUAUGGGUUGUAAACUUCUUUUGUAUGGGAAGAAACGCAGCUACGUGUAGCUGUUUGCCGGUACCAUACGAAUAAGCACCGGCUAACUCCGUGCCAGCAGCCGCGGUAAUACGGAGGGUGCAAGCGUUAUCCGGAUUCAUUGGGUUUAAAGGGUGCGUAGGCGGAUUAUUAAGUCAGGGGUGAAAGUUUGCGGCUCAACCGUAAAAUUGCCUUUGAUACUGGUAAUCUUGAGUACAUUUGAGGUAGGCGGAAUGUGAUGUGUAGCGGUGAAAUGCUUAGAUAUAUCACAGAACACCGAUUGCGAAGGCAGCUUACUAAACUGUAACUGACGCUGAGGCACGAAAGCGUGGGUAUCGAACAGGAUUAGAUACCCUGGUAGUCCACGCCGUAAACGAUGAUUACUAGUUGUUUGCAAUACACCGUAAGCGACAAAGCGAAAGCAUUAAGUAAUCCACCUGGGGAGUACGUUCGCAAGAAUGAAACUCAAAGGAAUUGACGGGGGCCCGCACAAGCGGAGGAACAUGUGGUUUAAUUCGAUGAUACGCGAGGAACCUUACCUGGACUUAAAUGUAGUAUGACCGACUAGAGAUAGUUUUUUCUUCGGACAAUUUACAAGGUGCUGCAUGGUUGUCGUCAGCUCGUGCCGUGAGGUGUCGGGUUAAGUCCCAUAACGAGCGCAACCCACGUUGUUAGUUACCAGCACAUAAUGGUGGGCACUCUAACAAGACUGCCGGUGUAAACCGCGAGGAAGGUGUGGAUGACGUCAAAUCAGCACGGCCCUUACGUCCAGGGCUACACACGUGUUACAAUGGCCGGUACAGAGGGCCGCUACCUAGCGAUAGGAUGCUAAUCUCCAAAACCGGUCUCAGUUCGGAUCGAAGUCUGCAACCCGACUUCGUGAAGCUGGAUUCGCUAGUAAUCGCAUAUCAGCCAUGAUGCGGUGAAUACGUUCCCGGGCCUUGUACACACCGCCCGUCAAACCAUGGAAGCCGGGGGUACCUGAAGUCUGUCACCGUAAGGAGCGGCCUAGGGUAAAUCUGGUAACUAGGGUUAAGUCGUAACAAGGUAGCCGUACCGGAAGGUGUGGCUGGAACACCUCCUUU
rnacentral:rRNA from 1 species